CAGUAGCCGCGGUAAUACGAAGGGUGCAAGCGUUAAUCGGAAUUACUGGGCGUAAAGCGUGCGUAGGCGGUGAGUUAAGUCUGCUGUGAAAUCCCCGGGCUCAACCUGGGAAUGGCAGUGGAUACUGGCUCGCUAGAGUGUGUCAGAGGAUGGCGGAAUUCCCGGUGUAGCGGUGAAAUGCGUAGAGAUCGGGAGGAACAUCAGUGGCGAAGGCGGCCAUCUGGGACAACACUGACGCUGAGGCACGAAAGCGUGGGGAGCAAACAGGAUUAGAUACCCGAGUAGUCCCUGUCUCUUAUAC
rnacentral:rRNA from 1 species